rnacentral:rRNA from 1 species
ACCCGACGGCCGUGCGCCAACCUGGCAACAGAAAGCAGCGGACCACGGUAGGCUCAGUGACUGGGGUGAAGUCGUAACAAGGUAGCCGUAGGUGAACCUGCAGAAGGAUCA